rnacentral:rRNA from 1 species
UACGUAGGGUGCAAGCGUUUGUCCGGAAUUAUUGGGCGUAAAGAGCUCGUAGGUGCCUGUCGCGUCGGCUGUGAAAACUCGGGGCUCAACUCCGAGCUUGCAGUCGAUACGGGCAGGCUAGAGUUCGGCAGGGGAGACUGGAAUUCCUGGUGUAGCGGUGAAAUGCGCAGAUAUCAGGAGGAACACCGGUGGCGAAGGCGGGGUCUCUGGG